UGGAAAAAUCGACAGGUCGGAGAAAAAUAGGUCGGACAAUCUAAAUACACUAUUUUCCUGGAAUUGCCCGAAUAGUAAAAUUAAACUAGAUUUAUCGAGCUGCCUGGAGUGGAGCCACCGACAUUGCAGAUCUUGGUGGCAGUAGCAAAAUAAACGUGUGGAGACGACGAAUCUCUUUGGCUUCCCGGUGACGCCCUCUAUAGUCGUACUGUGUCGUUCUCCCACCCCUCCUUCCCCAAACGGCCGGUAGGAGAGCGACCGCAGCGACCGUCAGCCCCCACCACGACCGGCAGAGCCCGCCCGAGCCGAGCUCCGCGGUCGCAGCCCGGCUCACCUCACAAGUUUCCCUUCGCUCUUGACGACUACUACAACCUGCUACGAACGCAGCCCAGCUCGGCGCCCACCCGGUCCAGCCGGAGUCAGUGAGCCCGCCCAGUUGCCCUGUUCACCUCCGCGAUCCUCCGCGACUUGACCGUGCUCGAAAAGAACUCUCCAGUACAAGUGUUGUUCGUCGCCGUUCUCGGCCCGCCUACUGCCAUGCGGUCCCCGGCUGGAUUACGAGCCCUUCCAGCCGGCACGGUCGCACGGUCAAGCAUUUGUGUCGAGAAACAACAGAUCAUCCUGCUUGUGUUCGACUAGUAUUUGAUGGACCAAGACUUGGCCGCACUUUCCUCUGCACAAGUGGACAUCUGGAGCCGGCUGCGAGAUGUGGGCGAGUCUCUCUACCUCCGCGGGACCCGCUGUGCCGUCUGCAGUUUAGCCAGUGGCAUCUCACGGUAACCAGCGUCAUCAGAGGUUAACGUCAGAUACGGCCUCUUUGGCUGCUGGGGGCUAGGGUUCAGGGGUUAGGUUCCCAUUCCCACUUAAAAUCCUUCACACAUUCACAACACAUUCACAACACACGACCGGUACGACAGUCGCGGCGUAAAGAACGGAACGGGACUAAAGCGAAAGUCGCGACGGCGCGAGCGGCGCGAGCGUGGUUGUUGUCAAGCUCAUCGUUUUUGGAAGAGAGUAAACAAAUUUGAAGAUGUUGAAGACGCAUUGGCUUGCCGGUAAUCAGCCCCAUUUUCCUGUUUUGCCGUUUGACUUUCGUAUUGUUUCCCCUCUCAUGGUGGUUUUGUUCGCAGGAUAUGUCUCGCUCGCCGGAGCGGACAGCAGGCAGCUGCUCGCCCUGCACUGCUGCUGGCUCCAGUCGAGGAUAAGACGUUCUCUGCUCGGUCACCGGCCGGACCUCGCCUUGACCCUGCCUGCUCGGCUCCCGCGGACAGCUGGACCGGCUCGUGGCAGCCGACGUCCUGACCACUCCGCUCCACUCGGACGCAGCCCGGGAGCGUGAAGCUAGCAGUGCAUCAACGCUGCCUCGCCGCUGAGGGCCUCGCGCGCCCGUGUCUACGAAGUCGCCGCUGGAGGACCGCGUCUGCUGCGAGUUCAACACCACUUCAAACUAUCCACACUGGUGACAGGCUGCUUGCCAGCUGAUUUCUGGUAUGUCGUUUACUGUGAAACGUUUGCUUCUCCAGUUGCUCUUCCAGUUCCAGGCCGUAGUUCCAGUUCCCCUGCGGUCAGCAGGAGGUCACCGCGGACGUCAGGACACCAGGACAAUCCCAACGCCCGCCAUGGAGGUCUGCUUUCAACAUGAACGCUGCUUUCGCUGUCUUCCCCUCAAGCAACCAGGACAACCAAUGCGCAGAGUGAGCGGUAGCACCACUGCAGUCAAGUGAAUGAGGAGCUGUUCGACUGGCAUGGGGCAGCGAAAAGGUCGCAUCUCAACAUUGCUGCUCAACCAGAUGGAAGUCAUCCCACUUAACGGCAGGACAAGAGAAUCAUUUGACAUUAUAAUAUAUUGUAUCAUACUGUCAUUCAUCUCUGACUUCUUGACUUCUUUGUCUUGGAUCGUGUAGUAUAGAUCAUGGUUUUUGUUGUCUUGGAUUGUAGUAUACAUCAUGGUAUGGCUCUUUGGAUUGUAGUAUAGAAUGGUGUUUGUUUGGUUCUCAUGUAUUAGUUCUUACAUUUUGGUUGGAUUUUGCGGCGUUUAAUGCUUGUAAUUUAUGUUGGGUGUAGUAAAAAAAUCUAAUCUCUUCCUUAUUUUCUUUACAUCAAAACCAUCUGCGUACUCCUGUAUCAUACAUCAUUUCAUAAAGAGCAAAACUGUAAAAUUUAUUACUGGUAACAAUGUGAAGCAUUUUUCCAAUCCAUUCAGUACUUCCUAUUCAUUUUAAAUAUGUAGUGAAAUCAUCCUAUUGUCUCUUAUGGAUUCAGCACCUCACUGUUAAGUCAACCUAUGGACCUUUAGGUAUUUAGUAUUAAGAAUUUUUCACAAUGAGCUUUUCAAAUUAGUCUGUCUGCAAAAUUGACGGCUGUGUUUUGCCGAUAAAAUGUGAAGGAAGAUGCUAAUAUCUUUUCAUGGAAUUAUGAAGAGUUCUCUUGGGGACUUCAAAUUUAUUUAGUGGCAUAAAAGUUCAGAUUAUCGUUCAGCACAUUUAGCAGAGUUGAGCAUAUGCACCUUGAAUGAACUUGAUACUACUAUUUUCUGUACAUCUAAAUCAACUGUGCUCACUUGUAUCAUACAUUAUUUAGUAAGACCAAAGAAGUUGAAGUUGUAGAAAGAGUUAAACUGUAAAAUGUAACUGUAAAUGGUAUUCGAGUGACUAUUACUGACCACUCAUAUGCUUGUAUGAAAUUGUUUCAUUGAUAUUGGUUGUUCAGCAAUUCUCAAAUGAAUUGAUUACUUCCUAUGAAGCAAUCUGUGCAAAUUGUUUGACCAUUUUUUAAGUUUGAUCUUACUCUAGUUCAUGUUCUGAAACUGAAAUUAACUAUACUGUUAACGUACCGUCUCGUGUGGAAUUGUGUGCUCCUCGUCAACAUGUCAGCUAAUUUUUGAAAUUUUGCAUUUGAGGCAAGGAACUCAACUAGUUGGUACUGAAUGUGAAUGUAUGUAUCCCUAUUAUUGUCUUGGAAAUAUAAUUUAUUGGAAAUGCGA